UACGAAGGGGGCUAGCGUUGCUCGGAAUUACUGGGCGUAAAGCGCGUGUAGGUGGUGGGACAAGUCUGCUGUGAAAGCGCCUGGCUUAACCGGGCGAGGUCGGCGGAAACUGUCCGACUCGAGGACGGUAGAGGGGGGUGGAAUUCCCGGUGUAGUGGUGAAAUGCGUAGAGAUCGGGAGGAACACCUGUGGCGAAGGCGGCCCCCUGGCCGGCCCUGACACUGAGACGCGAAGGCGUGGGGAGCGAACGGG
rnacentral:rRNA from 1 species